GUAUGCAUCUAAUUAACAUAUGAAAAUAUUAAAGAAGUGAAUAAUAUAUACAAAUGUAUAAAUUGUUUUGUCUUGUUUAUGAAUAGAUUCUAUAUAAUUGCGUAAUGGUAAGAGUUGGAGGUGGUUGGGAUACUCUUGAGCAUUAUUUGGAUAAGCACGAUCCUUGUCGUUGUAUAUCUGGAAGUAAGUAUACUGUAUUUUGUAUAUAUGCAUAAUUCUUAAAUAGCUUUCAUUUUCUUAACGUUAGUGUUUUAUUAUGAUAUUUACGAUAUGUUGAACGAGUUUAAACUUGAAUGGUAUAGCAUGUCUUUGUCGUACCAAGUGUUUUUUGUAUAUUAUCGGAUAAAUAUCGGUCUAUUUCGAUAGUAGCUUUUAUUCGUGAUAUUUCUUUUUUUUGAACAAGGAGAAAUCUCUUCCAAUUUAUUAAUUGAGAUAGGUAAGAAAACGUAUUAAAAUUUUGGGCGGAAUUAGCAAAUGUAGGCGGGGAACGUAUGGGGCGGAAGAGGAAAACUAGUAAAAUUAGGAUAGAGAGGUAGGUUUUGCUUGAAGAAUUGAGGUUAUUUUUUAAUAUAUACCGCCUGAUAUAGGCGCAAUCUAUUUUAGCAGACAGACAGAGGGAGAGAGAGAGAGAAAGAGAGAGAGAGAGAGAGAGCCGCCUUCUUCUCCUUCCUUUGCAGUGUGCUUGUUUAGUUGUAUUGCAGACUCUCCAGUAUACAAUCAAUAUGCUUAAGAAUUAAAUUGAAAACAAAAACUAACAACGGAUUUAAAUUAACGAUAAAAGAACGUUCGAGAACCAUCGUUUAAAGCGAAUUGAAUAUUCAAUAGACGGUUUGUAACUACUAGACGCCGGCAGUUGGAUCGAUUAAAGCAUUCUGUACCGAACGUUUAGUUAUUUCGCUUUUUUGUACGAGAGAUAAUGAAGUUAGAAUGCUUCUGCAGGUGUCGUUCAUUAAACGCUUUAGACGGUGGUAAGUUUAAGUUUGCCUAUUGUAUUGUAUACUAGUUAAGGAGAGAGCCAUCUUGCACAAGAAGGAGAAGUAAGGGUAGGAGCAGCUUAGUAAAAUAGUAGGAGAAGAUUGCUUGAAUAAGGGCUAUGGAGGGUGGUAUACCAGAUUGGAAGGAACUAUGGGAAAAAUAUACAAGUAUGGAUGUCGUAAAUUUUAUACGUAAGCACGAAUUAAACAACGCCAGGAGGGAUCCGAUCGAUUCCCGAUCGAACUCUAUACCAGACGAAUCCUUCCGUGAUUCAGGUUUCUAAUACAUCUCUUUUCCCCUUAAUUAAUAACAUAGUUACAUUACAGAUGGCGUUUUUUUAUUAUUAUUAUAUAGUUUUUUUUUAUUUAAAGAACUUGAUUGGGCACGUUUAAUCUUUUUUUUUUUUUUCCACCUCGUUUUCUUAGUCUUCUCUCUCUCUCUCGAUAUCGCCCAACUAUCUCCUCUUGACAGACAGAGAGAGAGAGAGAGAGAACAAAAAGGGCGAGAUUGUAUUAAAAAGUCUAUGUCUUCUGUAAUCGGAUUAAUUUUUUUAAUAUCCAACAGCCCACCGUUCCAAACCGGUGACAAAUCCUGCUUAUCGGAAACCGGAUACAUCGAAUUACGUUUCCCCGUACUCUCAAAAGAGUAAUAAAACGGGAAUGGAAGGUUAUAAACCUGUAAGAAAACGCUCUGAGGGGGCUAUACAAAGCAUGAGGAAUUCUGAUGUAAGAUCGAGAAGUCUCAAGUCCUCUUCUCCAGAUGUGUUUACUAUUAACCGCGAUUCGUCUGGUAAGCACGCCAUUAUCGAUUCAACAACGACGUCUAAGACGGCUAAAACCGUCAAGCCUAGACCUCUGUUGACACCAGUUGCAACUAUGGACGAAUUUGUUGAUAAUGAUGAAGAAUUAGAGAAGAUUAACGAUGAAAUGAAUAAAUGUUUUAUGGAAUAUAGAGAGAGUCUUAAGUCGUCUAACUCGGAAAUUAACCAAGAACCAUCUAAACAUGAACCUAAGAUUAAAAGUAACCCAAAGAUCAAUGGGAUACACACAUCUAAAAUUGCUGACAAAAUAAAGGAAGCUAUCAAUCCAAAUAAAAUUGGAAACAGGCCUAGUUCCGCUCUUGCGAAUCCUAUUAGGGCAACCGAUGUUGGAGCUAGAACUGCAUAUAUGCAACGACAACCUAUUAGGCCCAAUUCAGCUAUGGGUGAUGUUAAUGGAAGAUUAAUGUCACCGUCACCGGUUUCUUCAAGUAGGUCAAGCGACAGAAGUAGAUCGAGACUAUCGAGUCAAUCUUCUUCGGAAGAUCUAAAGUCGCGAAGAAGAGAGAGAUCGGCUAGCGCAGAUCGUACACGACGAACAUCCACACCGGAAAUACUGAGCCAAAAGUCAUUGUCUUCUACAGCACCCGCAAAGGCUCGCCCAUCCUCUCCAGCCCUUAAUAGGUCAACUACUUCAGUUCACGCUUCCAAUUCAGUUCGGAGUCGGCCGUCGACUCCUGUCUUCUCUGCGAAUGCAACUCCAACAAGAACAAGCCGACCCUCAACUCCAGUUAAUAAUACAACUUCAGCUAGAAGUCGGCCAUCAACUCCGGUCAAUUCUGUACAGAGUUCAAGGAAUAGACCGUCGACUCCAGUUAAUUCCACACAAAAUACAAGAAAUAGGUCGUCAACUCCUUUGAACACUUCGGCUAAUAGAAAUAUAACGAAUGGGGUAAAAAAUCUUCCAUCUAGACCUUCAACACCAGUAAACCAUAGUCAAAACCCUCAAUCGAAACCUGUUGCAAUAAACUCGGCCGCUAAGGUUCAAACUACUAGACCUUCUACACCUGUACGCAAUCGACCUUCGACACCAGUUCAUAAUAGACCUUCGACACCAGUUCGAAAUCGAUCCACAACGCCAGUUGCUACGUCUCAGAGCAGCUUUACCCAGCCUAAAUCCCGACCAAUCACCCCAGUGGUUGGCAGAUCAUCCAGACCUAGAACCUUGCCAAAAGAACCUGAACAGAAUGAACGACCUUCAAGAACUUCUGAAAGGCAAACGAGAAAACCAGCAUUCAAUCGUAGUCAAAGUCAAAAUAGAUUUGAUCUGGCCCAGUCUAAUACGGUUAAUCCACCAAUAAAUUAUCAAAGGCAAAGAUCCCAGUCAGUCUGCAGAAGCGAAAAAUUAGCCGUUGUUAAAUCACCAGAUCCAAGAAUUAAGCCAAGAAAGGACGACCGUCCCGGUAAGACGAAAAUUCCUAUGCCAAUGCACUUCGAGCUUCGGCGUUACGAUUCCGGCGUUGAUAUUCAUGUAUUAUACGAUGGCGCUUGGGCACAAUAGGGGCUUCAAAAAAAAUAAUUCAAUUCGUCCAUUUAUUAUUUAGUCCUUUAUUCUCUUUUCUUCAACUCUAUUUUAUAUUUGGACUUCUUUUUAAAUGCCAAAAUAUUCGAGUAGAGGUGUGGGUAUGAAAAAAUAGCACCGUAUGGAAAAUUUUUUCCAACCCAAAACAAAAACAAUGCUUUUAUUGCACGCUUGCUAUUUGAACAAAUUGUGAUAUGUGCGUAUCUUAAUUCUUCUCCUUCUUUUCUUCCUUUCUUUUUCAUUUCUUUUCGUAUUCUUAAUUAAUAUUACUAUUGCAUAAUAAUC
rnacentral:misc_RNA from 1 species